UACAGAGGGUGCGAGCGUUGUCCGGAUUCACUGGGCGUAAAGGGCGCGUAGGCGGUCUGGUAAGUGUGUGGUGAAAGCCCGGGGCUCAACCCCGGGUCGGCCGUGCGAACUGCUGGACUGGAGCAGAUCAGAGGCAGGCGGAAUUCCGGGUGUAGCGGUGGAAUGCGUAGAGAUCCGGAGGAACACCGGUGGCGAAGGCGGCCCGCUGGGCAGUGGCUGACGCUGAGGCGCGACAGCGUGGGGAGCAAACAGG
rnacentral:rRNA from 1 species